GCGUAUGAACAUCCACACCAAUAAUCAGGUGACCCGUAUCUACAACGUGAUUGGCUGGAUCAGAGGAGCGGUGGAGCCAGACAGGUACGUGAUUCUGGGCGGCCAUCGUGACGCUUGGGUGUUCGGAGGGAUCGAUCCCGUGUCAGGAGCUGCUGUGGUGCACGAGAGCGUGAGAGCGGCUGGGAAGCUCAUGAAGAAAGGUUGGAGGCCGAGGAGAACGC